rnacentral:lncRNA from 1 species
GACUGGUGUGUGGUGUGUGCUUUGUGUGUUGUGUGUGUUGUGUGUGUGGUGUGUCUGGUGUGUGGUGUGUGCUUUGUGUGUUGUGUGUGUGGUGUAUAGUGUGUGGAGUUUGUGUGUUGUGUGGGGUGUGUGUUGUGUUGUGUGUCUGGUGUGUGUUGUGUGAUGUGUUGUGUGUGGUGUGUGUGUUGUGUUGUGUGUGGUGUGUGUCUGGUGUGUGGUGUGUGUGUGGGGUGUGUGGUAUGUAUGUGGUGUGUGUUGUGUGUGGGGUGUGUGUGGCGGGUUUUGGGGGG